GGCGCUGUGGCGGAGUGGUCUAACGCGAUAGACUUGAAUAAUUCAUUCAGAUAUCUAUUCUCUUCGGAGGCACAAGUUCGAACCUUGUCAGCGUCG
rnacentral:tRNA from 1 species